rnacentral:rRNA from 1 species
CACGCGGUUAUACGAGAGACCCUAGUUAAUAUAUACGGCGUAAAGAGUGGUUUGGGGUAAAUACUUAAUAAAGCCGAAGAUCCCCCAAGCCGUCACACGCACUCCGGAGACACGAAGCCCCAGCACGAAAGUAGCUUUACAAAGACCCCCGACGCACGAAGCUAAAAACACUGGGA